rnacentral:lncRNA from 1 species
CGGAGGAGAGCGAGCGAGGCGCGCGUGCGGGAUUGUGAUGGGACAUGUUGGGGGAGAUAGGUGGGCAUUGAAAGGGGGUGGAGAUGAAGGGGCCAUUCAGUUAUGGAAGCGUACUCUCGAAGCGGGAGUCCACGCCUUCAGUUAUGUAGGCCAGAUAUCACUGACAUGUGGGCCUGGUAGCAAUUGGGCCUACUCGGUAAUGACACAAGUCACCCUGCAGACGAGGCGCAACAAGGAAUGAGAGGGGACAAUGAGUAGAUUUUGUUUCUAAAAGCGUAGAGUACUUUUCAUAGCAAGAGCCAGUGAUAUGCGAUUCCCACGUGUAUAUGACAUAGUGGGUCUAGCUUCCCACGAGCGCUGACGAGGAAGCGUAUUCCUCGAGCGCACAUUCGGGAACCGAGUGGGAGGAGGGAAAGGAAAUAAUUGGAGGAGAUAGGGAGGAUAAUACGGAAGUGGGGAGGUUAAGAUUCGAUUUGUUCGCAUAAUGGGUGGGUUAUUAGGCGGUAAAUGGCUGCAUGCAGGCGCCAACCCAAUUUUCAGCAAAAAAAGAAAAGAAAAGGGGUGGGGGGCAGGGAUCGAAGCUGGAUCGUCGAUUUAUAUUAAUGUCGCAGAUACCAUUGAGUUACUGGUUGUUUUGUUUCACUUCUAGCUUUUCAACCUUGUUAUACAUAGUUUUGGACCGGUGUGUGACUGACCUGUGGGACCUACAUGUCGUGGCCGGGUUCAUAUGCUGCUCUAGUUCAGUUCCUGGUGUUCUUCUUUUUUUAUUUUGAUUCAUUGUGAAUACGUUAAACGUGUUUAGAUUUCGCAUUUGUUGUCCAAAUCCGUUGAUUCUUUUUUCCAAUUUCUCGGACAACUUUUCCCUUUCAUGUGGUUUUAUUUACAUUGUGUUACCCGACCCUUUGUAUUAACAUUUUGUCAUUUGCUUCAAUAUUUACUUACUCUACAAUGAAUGGAACUUUUUCGAAUGUGUCCAAUGUACCAGGGGCUUAUAAAUAGGAAAGUUGGAAUCUUUUAUGGUCCAAUGUGU